CGGGGGAGGCCGGAUCCUGGGCUGUGUCCCGGCGCCCUGUGCUCCCGGUCUGUGCUGUUGGAUUCGCUCCCGCCCCGCAGCCCCCU
rnacentral:pre_miRNA from 1 species